AGCUCAGGCGGCACAUCGACCGAGGUCUCCGUCCGGGCGAAAUGGCUUCGCAUCGAAGGGGUCAGGGGUUCGAAUCCCCUCAUCUCCACCA
rnacentral:tRNA from 1 species